rnacentral:rRNA from 1 species
UACGGGGGUGCGAGCGUUGUCCGGAAUCACUGGGCGUAAAGGGCGCGUAGGCGGCCACCGCAAGUCAGUUGUGAAAGCUCUGGGCUUAACCCAGAAAGGUCAGCUGAUACUGCGGGGCUAGAGUGCAGAAGGGGCAACUGGAAUUCUCGGUGUAGCGGUGAAAUGCGUAGAUAUCGAGAGGAACACCUGCGGCGAAGGCGGGUUGCUGGGCUGACACUGACGCUGACAGCGCGAAAGCUAGGGGAGCGAACGGG